rnacentral:rRNA from 1 species
UGGGGAAUAUUGCACAAUGGGCGCAAGCCUGAUGCAGCGACGCCGCGUGCGGGAUGGAGGCCUUCGGGUUGUAAACCGCUUUUGUUCAAGGACAAGGCACGGUCUUCGGCCGUGUUGAGUCGGAUUGUUCGAAUAAGCACCGCCUAACUACGUGCC